rnacentral:rRNA from 1 species
AACNUAGGAACUUCCGCAUGGACGAAAGUCUGACGGAGCAACGCCGCGUGAGUGAUGAAGGUUUUCGGAUCGUAAAACUCUGUUGUUAGGGAAGAACAAGUACCGUUCGAAUAGGGCGGCACCUUGACGGUACCUAACCAGAAAGCCACGGCUAACUACGUGCCAGCAGCCGCGGUAAUACGUAGGUGGCAAGCGUUGUCCGGAAUUAUUGGGCGUAAAGCGCGCGCAGGCGGUUUCUUAAGUCUGAUGUGAAAGCCCCCGGCUCAACCGGGGAGGGUCAUUGGAAACUGGGGAACUUGAGUGCAGAAGAGGAGAGUGGAAUUCCACGUGUAGCGGUGAAAUGCGUAGAGAUGUGGAGGAACACCAGUGGCGAAGGCGACUCUCUGGUCUGUAACUGACGCUGAGGCGCGAAAGCGUGGGGAGCGAACAGGAUUAGAUACCCUGGUAGUCCACGCCGUAAACGAUGAGUGCUAAGUGUUAAAGGGUUUCCNCCCUUUAGUGCUGCAC